AAAUCAUUUUUGCCCUGUUUGUUCUGUAGAAAUACCACCCCAGACAAUCACGCCGAAAUACUCCCAGUAAUGGCUCAAAGCCUUGGCUAAUGGCAAGACACUCUACAAAACGCAAGAAAUAAUUUAGCGUGCGAUGAAAGUUCUACUAACAUUACAAGGACGGAAAUCCACAUGGGUAAUGCUAGUUCUCCAAAACUGGUCUCCUGAUGGUAAUUCCAGAUAGGAUGCUAUACAAUCCAGGUUUACUAUCCCUAGGCAUGAAAAAGGCUUCGGAACGAUGAGAGUGAAAGGGUUUGGUAAAAAGGGACACCUGCUUUCGCUUAAAAAAAAUUGCUAAAAACUGUUCUGUCUGUCUGCCUGAUUAACUGGUAGAGACUGAUCAACAACCAGUUAUUGUUUGGUUGGGGUAGACAGUGUUUCGUCCUUUUGAUGCAAAAUUAUAUUAACUGUCACAAUUAAAACCAAACAGCACAUAAUCUAAACUUGUCACGACACAACGACAAUUAAGGCCACCAAUUAAUGACUCAUUAAAAGAUUUUUCUUGUGAAAAUUCAGAUUUCUAAAAAAUAAUUCUGUACAAUAACGCGUAAUAGCACAAAUGCCAUUUUCAGGGAAAUGAACAAAAAGAAAAAGUAAUAUAAUCGAACAAAUGACCUAUUGGUGAAAUUUCAUUAAUUUGACCCUGUGGGAAGAGACCAAUGCAUGUCAUUAUCAUUGACGUGUUUAGUAUUAUUUCCCCCUCUACUUCAUUUCAUCCAUGUUAUGUGUAAUUGACGUUUUCAUUGAUUGAUCGGUUGAAAAAUGAAAGAGUAUUGCUCUUGAAACUGUUGAUGAAGAAUGGUGAAUGGACCACCUUGAAACAUGUGUCACAAGAAAGAUAACUCUGGAAUUUAAAAUAUCUGUGCACUCUCUUUGGUGGUAUGGGA